UACGAGGGGUGCAAGCGUUGCUCGGAAUUAUUGGGCGUAAAGGGCAAGUAGGUGGUCUCAUUUGUCUGGGGUGAAAGCCUUGAGCUUAACUCAAGAAGUGCCCCGGAAACGGUGAGACUCGAGUAUUGGAGAGGGCCGUGGAAUUCCCGGUGUAGCGGUGAAAUGCGUAGAGAUCGGGAGGAACACCAGAGGCGAAGGCGGCGACCUGGACAAUUACUGACACUCAACUGCGAAAGCGUGGGGAGCAAACAG
rnacentral:rRNA from 1 species